rnacentral:rRNA from 1 species
GACAGGUUAGUUUUACCCUACUGUCGUCGUAGGUCGUGAUUAGAGUAGUGUUUUAAAGUACGAGAGGAACGAAAACGCAGCGUUUCUGGCAAUGCCGUUGGUUGAUCAGCCAGUGCGGCGACGCUACGCGCUUGGGAUAAUAGCUGAACGCCUCUAAGCUAGAAUCCAUGCUCGAAGUUAUCACGAUGG